GCGACGCGGGCCCAUCGGCCCUUCCUUGCCCUGCCCCCCUUGCCCAGCGGGGGGAGUCGUCCAUGGCCCGGCCGCAGCAGCCAGAACCCGGGCCUGCCCGAGGCCCCGAAGCGAGCGGCUCCGGGACCUCGGGCUCGAUCGUGCCGAGCUCUUCCCGGGCUUUCCGAGAAGAGUCAGUCGAGCCGGACUCCCCUAUUCCCGAGGGGAGUUCGGCUUUUCGUAAUGCCGAGGUCGCACGCUCCGUGUUGCGUCGUG
rnacentral:lncRNA from 1 species